rnacentral:sRNA from 1 species
GCUGGGUGUGGUGGUGCAUGCCUGUAAUCCCAGCAGCUAGGGAGGCUGAGGCAGGAGGAUCACAGGUUCGAAGCCAGCCUCAGCAACUUAGUGAGACCCUGUCUCUA